rnacentral:rRNA from 1 species
GAUGAACGCUGACAGCAUGCUUAACACAUGCAAGUCAACUGUGGCGGACUGGUGAGUAACGCGUAAAGAACUUGCCCCACGGAUGGGGACAACAUUUGGAAACGAAUGCUAUUACCUGAUACUGUGAGAGUGCUUUGCGUCCCAUUAGCUAGUUGGAGAGGUAACGGUUCACCAAGGCGAUGAUGGGUAGCCGGCCUGAGAGGGUGAUCGGCCACAAGGGGACUCGGACACGAGCCUUACGCAUUCGGGCGUCAUGGGUGAGGGAUAGUGUAAAAUAGGCCAAAGUCUGAUGAAGCAAUUCGGGUUGUAAAAUGAAGUUUUCGGGAGGAAAAGUGCUUUGAGUUGAGAAGCGGUACCAACAGAAGAAGCGACGGCUAAAUACGUGCCAGCAGCCGCGGUAAUUC